GAAAUAAGCAAGCACCAGAUUCUGCGGUGCCUUAUAGCCUUGAUGAAGAGUUUGGUUUAUUUUAAAUGCAAGGACUCAUCACGAUCCCUGGAACACAGGAUCAGCUCAACACAUUGCCUUUAAAAUCUGGAAAGUUGGCAAUGGCUGAUACAUUUGUGAAAUACAGACUAAUCUUCACUGCAUGAGGAAUUUUGAUCCAAAUCCCAGGAAGGCUAAUUUUAUU